GGUUGUGUGGCGUAAAUGGUAGCGUGUUUGGCUCAGGACCAAGAGGUCGUUGGUUCGAAUCCUACCGUGUCA